GUCCAUUUAAUCCCGCCAUGUUUUGAUUCUCUCUCCAACCAUUUUCCAUCAUCUACUGCUGUCCUUCUGAUAGGGGCCCCGGGCCCCUCAGAGUGGAAGCGACAGACAGAGGCGGUGAUUAAAAGUCGAUUUUCAUCUGUUGGGAGAAGCAAACCUCAAUCAGAAGCAUUCUUAUGUCCUGAUUCAUCAUCAUCCCAGAGAUUGUUCUGUGGCCAACAACUCUUGUCCCUCUCAAACUCCAGCCCGGAGGCCAUCCUGGCUGACUUUUAAGGCCCCUAAAAGGAUCUAGAAAUGGAAAGGGUGACUUUUACCUAUGUGGACCCUCCCUAAGGAUUGUCUCGUCUUGUAUUUGAGGUACAAACUGAAAGAGACAAAACAACACACCCAGUGGAGGUGCUCCGAGGCCAGACGCACGUUCUUCACCGAAGAUAAAUAAAGAGACUUCGAGGCGCUGCCUAAGCUGAGUGAUUUCGCCCCCCUCCAUCCC
ensembl:lncRNA